CCUACUCGGUGGUUGUUCGAUAAGGUUGAUCCAAAGUGGAAUCGCUGGCAAUUGACAUGGCGUCAUCAGCACCGCGAUUAUUUCGAAUUUGCGAUGUUUCCAGAAAAAAAUCAACCGUCAUCUGUGCACCCACCAUCGCAAACGUAUUGCGCAAAGGGGAAUCGAAUUUCGAAAGGAAUUUUACAUGCAUUGUUUUGGAGGAUGAUGGAUACAGGAUUCCUGACGAUGACACUCUAGAGGCUCUUCGCUCAUCUAAAGACUAUUUGUUUAUGUUGUUGGACGACAACGAGAGCUGGUCAAACAGAAGCGAUGGCAGUCCCCCCAGUCCCCCGAACUUCACUGGAUUAGCCGAUUACAAUCAGAUGGAAAAAGACCCACAAAGCUCAACAGUAAACAUUCCGGAUGACUAUACGAGCGAAAUAGGAUCCGGCUCUCACGGUGAAGAAUACCAAAGGGAUGUUGCCCUUCUGAUGCUUGUGCGGGCAACCCUAGCAAAGAGUGACUUCAAGAUGGGCUACGAAAUGUCUGCUGCUGGAAAGUUUGACGAUGUUGCAUUUUUUGACGAAAACAAAAAAGAAUGGUUGCUGAUUCAAACGAAACAUGCUGAUACGGUAAAAGGGCCACCAAAACCCAUCGACUGGAAUUCGUUACUUCCGGAGAACAAAAAGGAGCAAGACCGGUCAGAUUUUUCGCUAAUCAAGUAUUGUAAAUCGUAUGUGGAAGUUCAAAACCAGAUUGAUGGUUGUAAAAAGUUUUAUAUUUUCACCAAUAAACCAUUGGUCAAAACAAUCCUACACAAUUUUCAAACAUGCGAGGCUCAUAAACUGUUACGUGUUGCAAAAAAUGAUGAAGCAUUCCAACACGUACAGGUCAAACCAACUGACGACGUAGUGAAUAAACUGCUCAAAUAUAUCAAUCAGGACUUUGAAUCUCUGGUAGGAGCAAUAGUGGAACUUUUCAACAGUGGAAAAGUAGAUGCUGUGUUGAGCAAAUACAAAACUCACCUAGCAAAUGUGAUCGUUGUAGAAAAACAUGUUCUGAAGUUCCAUCCAAGUUUCUCAUCAAAUGACCCUGAUCCCAACAUCAAAUGCUUGUACGACUCACUACAGGUGAAGCAGAUUAUCGGCAAAGAGCGAGACAAUAUUAGCGGCGACAACAGGAAGCUCCUAAUAGGAAAAUCGAGGGAAAACAUAAAAUUUCCUCUGUUCGUAGGAAGAACACAAGUGGAGGAGUUCUUGCAUAAUAUGGUGCUGUCUGUCGGACAACCGGAUGAUCUUCGUAGUAUUAUUGAAAACGAAAUUCGGAUUUGGAUAAAAUCAUGGAUACGACCAGAUGGCUUCGGUAGACUGACUGAAACACAGGUGUCUCUUCCGGUAACGAGCAUGAAUAAGUUGUUUUGUGAUUUUAACAGAAUCUUCAGCCAGGAUAAGAAGAAGUUUCUGAAACUCGUUGAUGGAGAAGGCUUUUUCAAAACAAUUGAAAACGAACUGAGACAACAAUUAACGAAUCCAGCAGGUCAAAGUUGGGACAAGUUUGAGCAGCGCUACGUAAACCGCCGAAUGGUUUACACCGAUCAGAAAGAAGCCCAGGAGAAAAUAACCGAUUGGGAAUUGGUGCAACAAAUGACGGCCGAAUCCGUGAAUCAACCAUGUUUAAUUUUCAUCGCUGAGCCAGGCAUGGGGAAGACAACACUUCUACAGUACAUUUCGUUCCAAGUGCAACAGGAAGAUAGACGUCAUGUAUUUCUAGUAUAUCUUAACAGGCUUCACAACCAUCUGAAGGAAGUCAAAGAGGUAGUCAAUUUUGAUAAGGCCCUAAGUGUUUUUCGUGACGCGAUUUCGGAAAGCAAUCGUAAUAUUAUCAAAAAAGCUGCUAGCAAUAAUGGUGGAACAAAGCAAAGUCAAAUAGUGAUAUUUUGUGAUGGAUUUGACGAGGUUCAUCCCAAUCACACAAAGCAGAUGAUUCAGGUCAUCCAACAACUGAUGUCAGUAAAAUGUAUUAAAAUAGUUAUCAGUAGUAGGAAACAUGCCAAACAAUUGCUCGAACAAAGCUUCGCCGUCAAGUCCAUGCAUAUCGAUUCUUUCAGCAUAUUGGAUCAAAUAUCGCUCUUUCUAAAAUUAGCUUCCAUUGAACAAACCCAACACAACCCUUUACUAGCAUCUUUUUUCAAGAAAAAUCAAGCAGUCAUCAAUCGCGACUCUGCCGGUUCACCGCUCAUGAUAAGGAUGUUCGUUGAAGUAUAUUCCGAGCAUAUUCGAAACAUACUGAAACGUAAUUGCGAUGAAAACGUAGACUUGCUGUUUCCUUCCAAACCUAUUGACAUUGUAGAUUUAUUUGAGAAAUUUGUUAGAAAAUCCUUCAAUGCCAAAAUGAACAAAAAGUACGGAGCCACAAUCGAUGAAGAACUCAGUGACGACGAAAAUGACUACUUUUACGAAAAAUUUAUGUUGGAACAUCAAUCGUUGGCGCUAAAGCAGCUUGCUAUUGCGGAAAUGCUGGAAUAUUCGGAAACUUUAGAAGAAACGUACAAAACAUUUACGACUCGAAUUGAUAAAGGUUCCGACAAGUCCCUCCUCAUCGAAAAGGUUGAUGACAUGAUCCGGUUUACUCAUUUGUCGUUUGCAGAGUACUUCUUAGCCAAACUGCUGUAUGACCGUGUUUCGGAAUUUUCAUCCAAAUUGAGGACAAUUUUUGAGCAAAAUCCUGGAAUGAAAAGAUUCUUCUUCAUAAUGGUGGAAAAAUCGGAAAAAUCAAAGCAUUUUAAAAUAUUGAACGAAUUGCACAACGAGGAUGAAGUGACCGGAACGCACAGAAAUGCGAUUGCUUUUUACGCUUGUGAGGCCAACUGCAAAAAUCUGGUGAGGCAUUUGUUUAAAGAUCACGACUUGGACAGUAUGGCACACAAGAAAAUGGGAACAAUGAUGCAUGUUGCUCUAAAUAAUGACUGCCCUGAAAUAUGUCAGUUUCUUAUUGCCGAAUGUGGUGUUGAGCCAAACUUUUUGGAUGAAAAUGGUAAAUCACCACUGUAUAAGGCCUCCGAGCAUGGUAAUGCCGAACUGGUGAAGUUUCUGAUCCACAAAGGCGUUGCAGUAGAUCAAAUGAAUGUAUACAAUUCGACAACUCUGUGUGCUGAUGGUUCCGACAUUGUUGAGAAAGAAGACAAAUGGGCACCACUUCACGUUGCAGCUUACAAUGGUCAUGUAAAUGUUUGCAAAUUAUUGUUAGAAAGUGGUGCUUCUAUAGACAUUCAGCAAUCAGAAGGAUUGACUCCACUAUGCUGCGCAGCUCAAAACGGUCAUGAUGAUGUUGCCAAAUUACUCAUCGAAAGUGGUGCAUCGGUGAACAUCAUAGGGGAAACAGGAAUAUCGCCACUUCACAUGGCAGUUACAAUAGGUAAUGCUGACAUUGUCAAGUUUUUGAUCGAUGCAGGUGCCUCAGUCGACAUCCAGGAUCCAAAUGAAUCAACACCAAUCCACUAUGCAGCUCAAUUCGGCCACACUGACAUUACCCAACUGUUGAUCGACCAUAAUGCCAAGGUUAAUGGUAAGGCCAAGUACGGAAUUACGCCACUUCAUAUGGCUGUUCUAAAUUAUAAAACUGAUAUUGUAUGGUUGUUGAUCGGCAAAAAUGCUUCUGUUAACGCACAGGUAGCAGAUAAAUGGACGUCACUUCAUAUGGCAGCUCGAAAUGGUAAUAUCGAUAUCGUUAAGCUACUGAUCGAAUCUAAUGCCAGAGUUGAUAUCAAGAACAACAGUGGAGACAUACCUCUCCACGUAGCAACAGUAAACGGACACACUGAUAUAGCCUUAAUGUUGAUCAAAUGGUCACCAGUAUCGAUCCAUAUUCAAAACAAACAUGCUCGAACACCACUUCAUAUUGCAGCUGCUGGAGGGCAUUUACAAGUCGCAGAAUCGUUGAUCAAGAGCGGUGCUUCAUUAGAUAUCAAGGAUAAAAAUGAAUGGACGCCACUUCGUGUAGCAGUUCUAAACAAACAUGUUGAUGUCGUCCAAUUAUUGAUGAAAUAUACACUCAGUUCUUUUUGUACACGGUGGAUAUGUACCGUGUAAAAAAGUAGAAGAGCCCGUGCCUAGGGGCACGAACGGAAGCUUGAAGUAGGACCAUGCUUGGCCAUUACAUUUGUUUUUGCGC